rnacentral:lncRNA from 1 species
CACGUAAGAUGUGACUUGCUCCCCCUUGCCUUCUGCCAUGAUUGUGAGGCCUCCCCAGCCAUGUGGAACUGUCAGUCCAAUGAACCUCUUUCUUUCAUAAAUUGCCCAGUCUCUAGUAUCUCUUUAUCAACAGCGUGAAAACGGACUAAUACAUGGUGCCAGGCUGAGCAUUUGGAAACAGUGUUCUAACAAUGCCACUCAUCUGUUCCAAAAUUGCCAAAGGACCCACAUUGCCUAGAGUGAAAUUCAAACGUGAGCCUGUAAAUCAAAGCGCUUCAUGAGUUCUUCCCAACCUACCUUUCCAUCACAGCCCAACAUCAGGCAAACAGAACCACUCUCUUCUCCGUUCAUUUCCCGCUUGGUUCUACUUCUGGGUUUUGCUCUGUUUGGCAUGUGUUUUCCUGCAUCACUGCAUUUCUGAGUCUUACCCAUCCUUCAAAGUUCAUGUCACAUCACCUCCUGCAAGAACAUUAUCUGAUCCUCUCCUGCAUGCAUAACCACUCCCUCUUCUGGACUCCUGCAACCCUGUGUGCCACUCUUCCACACUGAGUAAAAGUAUGUGCUUUUCAUAUGUUUCCAUUGGGUGAUAAGGUCUUUGAAAAUAAGGCCCUUACAGAUUCACCCUUCAUGGAGAAGAUGUAGGGAGACCCAAGAACUUGGAGUUUGGCUGGUUUGUAGGAAAUGUAACAAAGUUUGGGGGAAUAAUUUUGGAAAGGUAGGUUGGAAUCAUAUUGUGACUCCAGGGUAAUAGUUAAAAGUGCUUGGGGGUCAUCUGCAGAUGUACGAAGCUAGAUGAAGCAAUCCUGAGAAAAAAUAUCAAAUGUGAAGGGAAAGUGCCCCUCCCUGGAACCACAGGGAACAUUAGCCUGCAAGUGUCCACUGGAAAAUAAAAAAUCAUGGAGACUGGCAGGAAAUGGCUGUAUAGAAUGGAAGUCAGUCACAACAUCCAUACCACACUGGGCAUAAAAAGAAUUUCAGCCCUGUUGGUCAGCCACGAUACCUGUCUACCAUGCAUACCAUCCAUAA